CUUCAUGAGAGGAAGGACGUGGUAGUGGGUCAGGCUUGUGACUGAGUUCUCUGAAUGCUUGGCUUCUACCCAUGAAAUGUCAUUGCUGUCAAUCAAGCGCUGAGUGAGAUUGAAGCUGGCACCGGCCUUGUCACACACCGGCUCCUGUCUAUUCAGGGAUUUUCACCGAGCCGUUUCAGACGGGAACAGUUUCGAAACAUCAUGACAAAAUACGUGACUCAGAUAAUAAAAAUAAAUAAAUAAAUAAAAAAAAUCCUCAAAGUCAGUUGGUGGGAACGAGGUUGAAGGAGUCGCAUCAGCUCAAACUGGAGGAAAUAGACGUGAUGUUCAUCUCCUGAGAAAUGAUUUAAGUUAUGGUGUUUGUUUAUCAGCAUAAAUUAACCUCCGCCGCCACGAUAUCUGCAGCUGACUACGAAAAAUAAACAUGUGUGCUUUCAGACCAAUUAGGGCUAUGCUAACAUGCUGUCGAGCCUCCAUCACACCCCCGGCUAAUUAGCAUUUGUUAAACCUUCUUAGUGAAGGGUGUGACCUACUUUCAGAACUGGAUGAAUCGUGUUUUUUGUUUUUUUUUUGGUGUGAAGAUUAUCUAAAUAACAACAGUAUCAGGACAGUCGGGGUAAUUAUUUCUUGAAGUAUUUGUUGUAAUUUAAAGUGCUUAAAAAGACGCCUAAUGAUGAGGCAGAACAUUAAAACACACACUCAGAAGUGAAAGUGGGAAGCAGCAGCCGCCUCUGCUAAAAUGCUUUUAGAUUUUAGGAUGUGAGAUAAUCGUCACAGAGGAGCUAAAACAACUUUGUGAUUUAAAAACAGACUUCUGGAAACGAGGUCAAGCGAAUGAAGACGCCUCAACAUUUCUGCAAUGGAAAAUAUUUGUAUGUUUUUAUUUUCAGGUUUUAACGGAAUAUAGGGAAAAAAAAGUGUAAAUGUGAUUUUUUUUAAAAAAACAUUUGCAGCUAGUUUGAGAUUGCACAUGAAUUAUUUCUCAGACAAAUAAUUCAUACUGUGCUUUCCUCUUAAUGCCUCCUUUGUCUAGCUUCAGUUCCUCUUCUUUGGUAAAAAUGCACACGACAUAUUUUAAUCAUGGAGGCCAUAUUUUUAUAUCUGCUGAAUUUUUUAACUAAUGCAGGAAGUCAAACGGCCUCUGAUUGGCCACGACUUUUUCAAAGAACAGCCAGAACUAAAACCUCUGAAACAGAGUGUCUGCAGCUGCAAACCUCAUCCAACAUCUUUAAAACAACAACGCACGACACGGUGAUUAAAACAAACACACACAUAUAUCCGUUAUAGUUACAAACGACUGCUGGACUUUGCUGCUGCGUGACUCUCCGUCUCCAUCUAGAACGUUCUCGGAGCACAUUAUAAAACCUCGUUUGUGAUAAAUGACGAAACCCUGAGCCGCGGCACCGCGGAGGCAGAAGCAUCAUCGGCUUACGCUCCAGCGAGCAUGUAGGCCAUAUAUGCCAAGGAUGGACCGCACACCCUGAGUCGACAACUGAACACCAAAGUCCCUGCAGCACAGACAGGCCAAGCGAUGUAGCGUGAUCACCUGCAGCCAGUGAAGGUCAAGCUGGGGGGCGUGUCACCACGAAUCAUAUGAGUCGGCACCAGGAGACGUUCAAUGGAUUCAGAACUCCUGAAUGAAACAGGAGGGGGAGGAAGAGGAGGAGAACGGCCCUGAGAAAAGAAAGAGGAAGAAAAAAAAAAAACCUUGAGAAAGGUGACGUUAAGAGAUCAAUUCCUGGUUUGGGAUUAUGUGCGUUCAGAUAACAUCCUCCACACCACCCAUCCCUUCCACACAGAGACGUGCCUCUUUUAAGGGUGAGUGUUGUGAUAGCCUGGGUAAUCCAGUAAUCAACACACACACUCACACACACACACACACACUCCCACUAAAGCAGCCUCAGUGAUACCCCCUGCUCCUCCAUCUACAUAAUGCUGCUGGCCAAGUUUACACCUAGCUCCACGCAUCAGGCUCAAAAUGCGAUUAGAGCUUAUCUGAAGGAAGACGAGACUACCUUCACCAUCGGGUUCAUCACCAUCACAUCCAUAUUCAUACACUUCAAAUCCCCUCUGGAGUAAAACUAAAGGGAUUCGAGCUCCUCGGAGCAUGCAGCGCUCCGUGUGGAGGAGAGGACCCGAGGUUCCUCUAUUCAGGUCACAGGCCUUUGUUAAAAAAAAAAAAAAAGAUUUUGCUUGACAAUGACUUUUUGUUUCGCAAAGAAAUAUUGAACACAGGCGUGAAAGUGACAACUCUUACCCAGAACAGUAAUUGACGGCACAUAAUGACAAUAAUGUGGGGUGAAAUAGAAAGUAAAUUUCUGUUUUGCGAAAAAGUCUACUAAUUAAAAUUCUCCUUUUCUGUUCCACUAGAGACAAUGUGAGGAGGGUUUUUUUUUUCUUGUGUCUAAGAUGAAGAGACCAUAAAAUAAAUGUUUUCAUCACCACAUCGCCAUACAGUGGUUUGGUGGUUGGCCUUACAACAAGAAGAUCAUUGGUUCAAGUCUCUGACAAAAACAUGCAGA